rnacentral:ncRNA from 1 species
GCUCUGGUCGGAAACCAGGGCGCGACAAGAAGGAG